GUGGGAGGAUGGAGGAGGGAGGGGAAGGGAUGGGGGAGCAUUUGCUGGGAAGUGGCUCUACCUUGCUCUCCUCCUGGGAUGGCCAAGAAAGGGUGGCUGUGGAGCAGGGGCAGCGUGGGGCAGGCUGCUGUGUGGCUGCUGUUCUGGGCAGCGGCUCUUGAGGAAGGGGCUUUGCUAGUUCUCCUGAGGUGCCUGGGCCCCAGCUAGGAAGUGGAGGAGCUGGGGAGGGGGCACUGAUGUGACUGCCUGCAAGUUGCCUGGAACUCCAGGAAGAGGAGUUGGAGAGUCACCUACCUGCAGGGCGGGCUGUGAUGGUCCUCUCUGUCUGGGGAGAAGACAAAAGGCACAGGCAGGGGACACAGCUCAGUGGGUGAAGACACGUGCUUCCACGCCCGACGACCCGAGUUCAGUCCUGGGGGACCUACCUGGUGGAAGGAGAGAACUGACUUCCGCAAGGUGUCUUCUGACCUCCACAUUGGUGCUCUGCACCCCUCCCGAUAACUAAAAAUGUGAGCUCAUGAUCCAGGUAGGCUGUACCAGAAAAUGUGCACACAAAGAUGGGCAGCCGGAAAACACAUCAGGGCACACAGGACGGCUCACCGGUAAAGGCCCUGAUGCCAAGACUGAGUUCGAUCCCUGGGACCCAUGGUAGGGGACAGCUGACUCCUGCAAGUUGUCCUCUGACUUCCACAUGAAUGCCGUAGCAUAUGAGUGCCCACACACACUCAUAAAUAGAAAAACUGAGUAUAAUUAAAAAAAAAACACAUCAAACGUGAAAGCAGAUGGAUGAUACAAACGCUCUAAAAUUCUUGCUCCUGAUUAAAAACUUAAAAAAAAAAAGGGAAAGUAAUGCAACAGGAUCCAUGGUAGAGUUCUAAUAAAACACAUUCUAGCAUCCCUCCUUUGAAACCACCAAGCUGUGAACCUGGGCCAGGCUGUGACGUAUGUCUACAGGUUGUGAGAUCCACAGAUAGCUGACAUGACUUCGUCCGAGACUCCGUGGAGGACAGUGAGAUCUGGAUGAGAUCAAGUGCAGGCGCCCGUCAUCGACAAGCCCCACUGGGAGGACGCUCUGCUCUGUUCCGUAUCUCUGGGCUCCUGCCAAGGGUGCUGCUGGCUACAGGUAUACUUCCUCUUUAGGCUGCCCAGGCUUCACUCCGACCCCUUCCACUCUGAAGCAGGGUCCGCCUCCGUGGGUGGAGGCACCACCCCUGACUUUGCAGUCAGCCUUCAUCUCACAGACUAAGAUGAAGGGCGCUUCAGGCUUGACUGGCCUCAGUGAGGCUUCUUGUCUUCUGACGUGCUCACUUCCACCCCCAGCUUGUGUGUGUGAAGCCAUGUGUGGACGUGUGGAGGUCAGAGGCUGACGUCAAGUGUCUUCCACUAGUGUCUUCCACUUGAUCUUUGGAGGCUGCUCUGAAGUCAGAUCUUAGGGCUGGCUAGACAGCUGACUGAUGAGCUCCAGGGAAUCCUGGGGUCCCUGCCUCCCCACUGCUAGGGUUACAGAUAUGUAUCAUCGUGCCCCAUUUUCAUGUGGGUCCUGGGGAUCCCACUUCAGGUCCUCAUGCCUACAUGGCAGGCAUUUUAGCCCCAGACAAACUCUCCAGCCCCCACCCCUUUCUGAGAGAAAAAGAAACUAUCUAAAAGCCUUUAUUAAUAUGAUUGUUUUCAAUCACCUAUUUUUCAGUCUUAUAUUGAAUUCAAGGACAUGAAAUACUGAAUUGUUAGGCACAGAGGCGAUAUGGAAAAAUUCUAACAAUGGUCACCCAAGGGCUGAUGCCUGAAACCUGGCCACUAGUGCACUGGGAUUUGGAUCUGUGAUCUGGACUCAGGCCUGAAACUGCUAUUUAGUCAGCCUGAAUGAGACUCAUGGGAGGUAGAGGAGAGGGACUCUGUAACAUGGGCAGACAGCCUUUGUUGGCAAAGCAGACCAGGGCUAGAAGAGCCAGGGAGCUUUGGCAGGAUGGGAAGUGGCCGCUCCAUGUCCCUAGCUCUGUACCUCCACCAUGGUGUAUCUCUAGCUCCAUGCACUCCCCAUUUCUGCUCCCCUACAGUCCUGUGGUCCCCCUCAGCUCUGCACCCUCAGCUCCCUGUCUGCCACGAGCUCAGUAUUCUGGGAAUCGAGAGUUGGUUGUGCAGCCCAAGCUCAGGUUCAAGGUCUAUGUGGGUUGUUACAGCUCUGAAUAGACUGCCUUUGCAUGCAAGGGAGCAGCUCAAACCCAAACCCGGCUCUUCUGCACCCUUUGGAAAAGGCAGGGGAAUCACAGCAGUGCUAUCUGAUGGCAAUGGGGUGGACAGUGCCUACCAUGACUGGUCGGCCUGAGAAAGGACCAGAGAUAUCUAGCAUACCCCAGGCACUGUGUUAAUUCCAGUCUCGAAUUCCCACCAUCCUCAUUUCAUUUAGAUCCCCAAAGCCCUGGAGGGAGCUACCAGGAAUGUCAUUCAGGAAGGAAGCAGCAGUGCCUGAGGCCACUACGAAAUGUCUGGGGGAUGUGGGAAGCAGCCCAGCUCCUGAGAAGGGAAGUGGGAUUACCAAGAAGUGUCCUUUUUAAUUUCCCCUUUGCAUGAACAGGAGCUCCCUGUGACGGGUCUUAGUGAGAAUGGGGUUCCAGAGCUGCAGGAGGGCCCUGCAGACUGUAGGGCCAGUCACAGUGGGAUCCCAGCAAGUCAGAUGGCUCAGCACCGAGAACACACAGCAAAGGGAAGCCAGUGAUGGAGUGCUGGCAGCAGGCCAACGUUGAGCCUGAGGCCAUGGAUUCCAGUCAAUCUCAGGAGGCCAAUCCGGGAAGGUCUAGAAGAUGCAGUCAGGGACAGCAAGGGGACAUGUGUGUUCAACUGAGAGCUGCAGCACUGUGCCUGCUGAUGUGUGUCAUGCCCACAGAUGCACAUGUAUGAGCGUAGAUGUGUACAGAUACACUCACAGACCGCCACACACACACACACACACACACACACACACA